rnacentral:lncRNA from 12 species
GCAGUAGUGUUCUUGUUGACAGCACGAACAUAUUCGGUAUCCUACUUCCGNNNNNNNNNNGGGGGGGGGGGGUUGGAGGGGGGGGACAAGGGAAGGCAAGUCCCUUUGCCCAAACACCCACCCUCUCCCGCCCAGCCUGGCAACAGCAGACGCCAAAGGAUAAAGGGGCAUUUAAAAAAGAAAGAAAAAAAAAAAAAAAAAAGUAGAUUCUUAAGAGUAGAGCACAGCAUUCGGUCACCUGCUGCAAGAGAAGCCCUCCGGGUCACCCAGCCCUGAGUCACUUCCCCCCUCGGCACGGUCCAGGCUCGCAGGAGCAGAGGCCCCCGCAGCCCCCACGGCCCCGCGCCCCCGCGCCGCCCACGGCUCUGCGCCCCAGCCCGCGCCACUGCUACCUUCGCUAAGGGCAGCUCUGAAUGAAAGGAGCCGAGGCAGGCUCCGGAUUUAUGAAUGUGCAGGGGAGGAGGGGAGGGAUAUCAUGUGACAAUAAAGGAGAGCGUCUUAUUCACAAAAAAAAAAAAAAAAAGUGGCUGGUGGCGGGCACAGCCACUGAGCAGCGGGGACGGCCGCCGAGCGCUGACCGCUCGGACCCGCGGCCGACGACCUCAGGCGCCGGGCCCAGGAGCCCGGCCUCGGCUCCCCCUGCACCGGGGCGCCCCGGGCGGGGGCUCGGCCCGGGGUCGCCCCCGGGGCCCGGGCCAAUCACGGUUCCGGGGAGCGGCCGGCGGCCGGGGGAGGUGCCCCUGGGAGGCGGUGCAGGGCGCCCCGUCCGAGCCCCAUCUCCCGACUCCGCCGAUUUACUCCAUAUUGGAUUCUCACCGCCCCCAACAGGAGGAGGAAGUAGGGCGGAAGCGAUGACGUCUUCCCAGCGGCCAGAGGUGGUGGAGUGCAAAAAAGCUUCCUACUUGCGACCGAAAAAAAAAAAAAAAAAAGGGAGAAGAGAGAGGAAAAAAAAAAAAAAAAAAAAAAAAAACUUUGACCCGCCUACUGAGCAUGCCCGGCUUCCUUGCCCCCUCCCUCCCGGCUGGCGCUCCCGGAGGAGCCGCGGAGCGGAGCUGUUUGUGCGGCGUCUGCCUGGCUCCGGAUCCCUGCCGGACGACGCUCCGGGUUUUGAGAAGCCCGGGAGGAGGGAGGAGGCGGGAGGGAGCCGAGGGCUCGCGCACAUCUGGCUCCAGUUUGGUUCCCUCCCUCCAUCCGAACCCCUGGAUUAACGAUGGUGGGGGGCGGGGGCGGAGGCGCGGAGUUCAGGGGAGGCCCCAGGGGUGCUCGGGCUUGGAGGACCAGCUCCCCCGCGCUGCGGCGGGAGGCGGGGGGAGGCGGCACAGGUGUUUUUGCCAAGGUUCCGAAUGGCAGAGGCUUUUCAGUUUCUCAUGAAUCUUGUGAUUUUUUUUUUUUUUUUGUCUUGCUAGAGGAGUGGACAUUUACGAGGAAUCGAUAUUUGUACUUAAAAAAAAAAAAGGUAACUCCAACACAGCUCAGAAAUGCAAAUGCAUUUCAGUAGAAAUGAUGGGCUUCCUUGGGUUAAAAGGUGAGCCCAAAUACAUUUUAAAAAUUACUUAAUAGGGAUCCCUGGGUGGCGCAGCGGUUUGGCGCCUGCCUUUGGCCCAGGGCGCGAUCCUGGAGACCCGGGAUCGAAUCCCACGUCGGGCUCCCGGUGCAUGGAGCCUGCUUCUCCCUCUGCCUGUGUCUCUGCCUCUCUCUCUCUCUCUCUCUCUCUCUCUCUCUCUCUCUCUGUGUGACUAUCAUAAAUAAAGAAAAAAAAUUAAAAAAAAUUACUUAAUAA